rnacentral:rRNA from 1 species
AGCGAACGCUGGCGGCAGGCUUAACACAUGCAAGUCGAGCGGGCAUCCUUGUGGUGUCAGCGGCAGACGGGUGAGUAACGCGUGGGAACGUGCCCUUCGGUUCGGAAUAACUCAGGGAAACUUGAGCUAAUACCGAAUACGUGCGAGAGCAGAAAGGUUUAUCUGCCGAAGGAUCGGCCCGCGUCUGAUUAGCUAGUUGGUGAGGUUAUGGCUCACCAAGGCGACGAUCAGUAGCUGGUCUGAGAGGAUGAUCAGCCACACUGGGACUGAGACACGGCCCAGACUCCUACGGGAGGCAGCAGUGGGGAAUAUUGGACAAUGGGGGCAACCCUGAUCCAGCCAUGCCGCGUGAGUGAUGACGGCCUUAGGGUUGUAAAGCUCUUUUCUUCGGGACGAUAAUGACGGUACCGGAGGAAUAAGCCCCGGCUAACUUCGU